CUGAAUGGCUGCACAUAGCCAGAGCUCUCAACAACUACACUGUAUGAACCCCUUGAGAGACCCUAAAAUAGGGACAAAAAUGGCAUGGAAAACACCCAUGAGCGAGUGGAAACAAUGGGACACAAAACUAAGAAAAUUAAACCUGUAAAGCCACGGCUGGGCUUAAAUAACAAAGAUCUGCGGCAGGCACAUGGCUCGACUACCAGGAGAUCUACUCUGAAAUCUCCGAUGACAUGUCCCCAGACAAGGUGGGACAAGACUACUGCAAUGCUAAAACUGCUUCUGGCAGACCUCCAGAAGAGUAUCCAGACGGAUGUAGCAUUACCCUGUGCAGAUUUGCAGGGCCUAAAGCAGUCAAGAGGCUCCAACAGCAAAGCGAGCUGAGUUACCGCCGCUUCACUGCCAUUGAAGACUGGAGGCGGA